UACAGAGGGUGCAAGCGUUAAUCGGAAUUACUGGCGUAAAGCGCGCGUAGGUGGUUUGUUAAGUUGGAUGUGAAAUCCCCGGGCUCAACCUGGGAACUGCAUUCAAAACUGACAAGCUAGAGUAUGGUAGAGGGUGGUGGAAUUUCCUGUGUAGCGGUGAAAUGCGUAGAUAUAGGAAGGAACACCAGUGGCGAAGGCGACCACCUGGACUGAUACUGACACUGAGGUGCGAAAGCGUGGGGAGCAAACAGG
rnacentral:rRNA from 1 species